AUUGAACGCUGGCGGCAUGCCUUACACAUGCAAGUCGAACGGCAGCGGACCUUCGGGUGCCGGCGAGUGGCGAACGGGUGAGUAAUAUAUCGGAACGUACCUUUCAGUGGGGGAUAACGUAGCGAAAGUUACGCUAAUACCGCAUAUUCUGUGAGCAGGAAAGCAGGGGAUCGCAAGACCUUGCGCUGAUUGAGCGGCCGAUAUCAGAUUAGCUAGUUGGUGAGGUAAAGGCUCACCAAGGCGACGAUCUGUAGCGGGUCUGAGAGGAUGAUCCGCCACACUGGAACUGAGACACGGUCCAGACUCCUACGGGAGGCAGCAGUGGGGAAUUUUGGACAAUGGGCGCAAGCCUGAUCCAGCCAUGCCGCGUGAGUGAAGAAGGCCUCGGGUUGUAACUAGCUUUGUUACUAGAACGAAAAGGACUACUGGUUAAUACCUGGGCGUCAUGACGGUACUGUAAGAAUAAGACACCGGCUAACUACGU
rnacentral:rRNA from 1 species